rnacentral:rRNA from 1 species
CAAUAGGCGGAAGCCUGAUGCGGCAACGCCGCGUGCGGGAUGACGGCCUUCGGGUUGUAAACCGCUUUCGCCCUGUGACGAAGCGUGAGUGACGGUAAUGGGUAAAGAAGCACCGGCUAACUACGUGCCAGCAGCCGCGGUGAUACGUAGGGUGCGAGCGUUGUCCGGAUUUAUUGGGCGUAAAGGGCUCGUAGGUGGUUGAUCGCGUCGGAAGUGUAAUCUUGGGGCUUAACCCUGAGCGUGCUUUCGAUACGGGUUGACUUGAGGAAGGUAGGGGAGAAUGGAAUUCCUGGUGGAGCGGUGGAAUGCGCAGAUAUCAGGAGGAACACCAGUGGCGAAGGCGGUUCUCUGGGCCUUUCCUGACGCUGAGGAGCGAAAGCGUGGGGAGCGAACAGGCUUAGAUACCCUGGUAGUCCACGCUGUAAACGGUGGGUACUAGGUGUGGGGUCCAUUCCACGGGUUCCGUGCCGUAGCUAACGCUUUAAGUACCCCGCCUGGGGAGUACGGCCGCAAGGCUAAAACUCAAAGGAAUUGACGGGGCCCCGCACAAGCGGCGGAGCAUGCGGAUUAAUUCGAUGCAACGCGUAGAACCUUACCUGGGUUUGACAUGGAUCGGGAGUGCUCAGAGAUGGGUGUGCCUCUUUUGGGGUCGGUUCACAGGUGGUGCAUGCCUGUCGUCAGCUCGUGUCGUGAGAUGUUGGGUUAAGUCCCGCAACGAGCGCAACCCUUGUUCACUGUUGCCAGCACGUUAUGGUGGGGACUCAGUGGAGACCGCCGGGGUCAACUCGGAGGAAGGUGGGGAUGACGUCAAGUCCUCAUGG